UACGGAGGGAGCAAGCGUUGUUCGGAUUUACUGGGCGUAAAGGGCGCGUAGGCGGCCUCCGCAAGUCAGUUGUGAAAUCUCCGAGCUUAACUCGGAAAGGUCAACUGAUACUGCGGGGCUAGAGUGCGGAAGGGGCAACUGGAAUUCUUGGUGUAGCGGUGAAAUGCGUAGAUAUCAAGAGGAACACCUGCGGCGAAGGCGGGUUGCUGGGCCGACACUGACGCUGAGGCGCGAAAGCUAGGGGAGCGAACGGG
rnacentral:rRNA from 1 species